UACGGGGGGAGCAAGCGUUGUUCGGAUUUAUUGGGCGUAAAGGGUCCGUAGGCGGUCCGUAAAGUUGGAUGUGAAAUCCCACAGCUUAACUGUGGAACUGCAUUCAAAACUCACGGACUAGAGUAUGGAAGGGGUGAGGGGAAUUCCCGGUGUAAGGGUGAAAUCUGCAGAGAUCGGGAGGAACACCAGUCGCGAAGGCGCCUCACUGGUCCAUUACUGACGCUCAGGGACGAAAGCUAGGGGAGCGAACGGG
rnacentral:rRNA from 1 species